rnacentral:rRNA from 1 species
GAUGAACGCUGGCGGCGUGCCUAAUACAUGCAAGUCGAGCGAACAGACGAGGAGCUUGCUCCUUUGACGUUAGCGGCGGACGGGUGAGUAACACGUGGAUAACCUACCUAUAAGACUGGGAUAACUUCGGGAAACCGGAGCUAAUACCGGAUAACAUGUUGAACCGCAUGGUUCAACAGUGAAAGACGGUCUUGCUGUCACUUAUAGAUGGAUCCGCGCCGCAUUAGCGAGUUGGUAAGGUAACGGCUUACCAAGGCAACGAUGCGUAGCCGACCUGAGAGGGUGAUCGGCCACACUGCAACUGAGACACGGUCCAGACUCCUACGGGAGGCAGCAGUAGGGAAUCUUCCGCAAUGGGCGAAAGCCUGACGGAGCAACGCCGCGUGAGUGAAGAAGGUCUUCGGAUCUUAAAACUCUGUUAUUAGGGAAGAACAAAUGUGUAAGUAACUAUGCACGUCUUGACGGUACCUAAUCAGAAAGCCACGGCUAACUCCGUG